GCUGGAGCGAGGAGCCCAUUGGGCACGACCGCACCAACCCUAGCUCCCCAUCCACAGUCACGCACUCCUCCCUCCUCCCUCUCACAGCCGCCACACCCCAUUCCUCUCUUCCUCCUCCCUCCUCCUUCCUGGAUCCCUGCCACUGCCACACCGGUGGCUGCACUCCACCUCUUCCUCGUGGUGCGGCGGACGGCGGCUCUUGCGGUCGUGCGGCCGACGGCGGCCUCAGCGGGCUCUCGAUCCCCGCUCCUCAUUCGGCUCCUCUUCUCCAUGCCGCCGCCGCCUCCUCCUUUUCCCCGUCCCUCACGGCCGCCUCGCCACCUCCGCCUUCAGCACCUCCUCCUCCCCUUCCUCUCCUCCUUCCCUGCCUCUGGAUCCAGCCAGUUAACUCUGGAGGGGAACCAACCUACAGGUAAAGGGCGACGGCGGCGGCCCUCGAGCAGAUGAGAGGGAGAGAGAAGGACAUGGCGGCAGAUGAGAGGGGGCGUGCGGCGCGGCGGUGAGCGUCUCCGGCAGCGGCGGCGACCUGUGGGCAAAGGGUGACAGCUGGGGUGCUCGAUUCGAUCCAGCGCCAUGAGCCUGUACUUUACUUGCUAGAGAGAGAGAGCAGAUGAGGGAAAGAGAGAAGGAGAGGAGGGAGAAAGGUAGAGGAAAGAGGAGAGGGAGCCGCAACGGCAGAUGGGAGAUGAACACGGUCUGGGGCCGGCCAUUCGCAUCUCUCCUCCUCUCCUGCUCUUGACCACCAUCGUGCCCCUCCUCCCCUUCGCUUCUAGGAGUAGCUAUUUUCCUCGCUCGUACUGCUGUUUGGCUCGAGUGUUUCUCCUUCCCAAAUCUGGUUGUAUGAUCUGGCCCAUUAUUGCGUCUCCAUUCUAUUCAUUGCUUCGUCUCCGUUUUGCUUGUCAAGGCACAGCUCGAAAUACUCAGGCCUCGGCCAAAGGUGGAGAAGACAGACCCCAGGAAGGAUUUUGCGCUGCCGUCUUCUUUCGCCGGAAUUGUAUGGGAAUGAAGCAAAAAGCAUGAAGAAAAUAGAGCAGGUCGUGUGUCAUCGUGCACGUAGUCUGCCUUCCAUUGGCGUUAUUGCACCUGGUUAUCUACAGAGGAAGGCAAGGAUAACUAGAUUAAACAUUUCACAAGACCCUCCCAAUUACAGGCACAAACUCCUUCCAAGAUAUUACAAGUGUGGUUGAUUACGGGAGAUUGUGAGAUGAAAAGAAGGUAUAUCCUUUAUAUUUAUCUAGAUGUUUAAUUAGCUGCACAACCAUACGUGAUUCUAUAAGGAAACUAUUUAUCCUGGUGAUCUUGAUAUCCAGUCAUGUAUUACAGUAUUAGUAUAGGCUGUAAUUUUUGGCUAGGAAUCUAUAUAUACAGAACCUAAACUGAAGACUCAAUAUAGCACAUAUACUUGGCCAGUUAUCCUAAGAAUAUUAAUCCACCUGGACUUUUAACUUGACUUCCAAAGAAGUUCUUAACGAUCAAGCAUUUUUGAGUUUUUAGUAAAUUGAAAUAAUGUUGCACUUUGACAAUACUAUUCUGAUUUUGCAAGUUAAUAGAAAUCCUUCAGUUUCAUACCACUUUUUUAAUCGCACAUUUGGAUGAGUAUUAGUAUAGGCUGUAAUUUUUGGCUAGGAAUCUAUAUAUACAGAACCUAAACUGAAGACUCAAUAUAGCACAUAUACUUGGCCAGUUAUCCUAAGAAUAUUAAUCCACCUGGACUUUUAACUUGACUUCCAAAGAAGUUCUUAACGAUCAAGCAUUUUUGAGUUUUUAGUAAAUUGAAAUAAUGUUGCACUUUGACAAUACUAUUCUGAUUUUGCAAGUUAAUAGAAAUCCUUCAAUUUCAUACCACUUUUUUAAUCGCACAUUUGGAUGAUUGCGACAUUAUCUCUUCUCGGAAUUCCGCUUGCAUGUUUCCAGUUGAGACAAUAACUGAGUUUGAUAAGUAACCACUAUAUUAUUUUCUAUGUGUACACAUGUUGUCGCUCUGCUUGAGUCAUCCAUAUCGACAUUACGAGCCCGAGACUUCCAUCACAACAAACUAUAUGUAUCCAGGUAGUGUCCAAUAUGUACACACAGGCUCCUCUCACAGGCCGACUAAGCUGAUUGUAACUGAAUGUGUGUGUGUGGCCGUGAAGCAGACUUUAUCUUGGUCUGAGUAUCAGUUCCCUUCUCCACAUUACGAGCCCGAGACUUCCAUCACAACAAACUAUAUGUAUCCAGGUAGUGUCCAAUAUGUACACACAGGCUCCUCUCACAGGCCGACUAAGCUGAUUGUAACUGAAUGUGUGUGUGUGGCCGUGAAGCAGACUUUUUCUUGGUCUGAGUAUCAGUUCCCUUCAAUGGUACAAUUUUGGAUACUAUUUUCUUCUAGAUGUAUAGGUUUCUGCUGGUCCCAUUGGCUGCUACAUUUUAGUGAUACAAUAGCUCAAUGUCAUGCUCACCAAUUAUUCUGUAAAAAUGAAAAAUCGACUUGACUGUAUUUUGUACCUGUUUUAGUAAUUACAUGAUGUGAUUAUUUUCAUUCUAGAUAUGGAAAUAUUCUAAGGAUUAAGCUUUUUGAGAUGUUAAGGUAUCUGAUGAUUAAUUAGCCUUUGUAAGAUUUAUGCACUCAUGUCAUACAACCUAGAUAAUUCUCCUUGGAUCUCCAUAAUUUCUAACUGAAUAUAGAUGUAUACUGACAGUAAAUCCCGUUUUAGUAAUUAGUUGGAUAUAAUUGAUAAUUCUUUGACAUGUUUUUAUGAAAUGUCUGCUUAAAUCAGUGUUAGAUGCUCCCAUAAUCGAUUACUUUUUGGAUAUGAAUUAUUACUAUAAGAAGUAUAUUGGUUCUCCGGUGUUUUCAGUUCUUACAAUAAACAAAUUAUAUUGUUUUCCACUAAUCAUUUCUCAUGUAGUUUUACUCUGCAGUAUGUAUCUUUUGCUUCAUAAUUCAUCUGUUCACAAGAUUGAUGCCUAGAAAUUUCAGCCUUUCGUGCUAAAUGUCGUCUGCUCAUUUGUAACGGCAUAGAGAUAGGAACGAGCAAUUCAUCUUCAGUUUGAGAAAGUGGCGGACAAAAGAGAACUGGACUAUUGUUGCUGAGCGCUAGCUCUGGCCGCAUGACCAUCUAUAUAUAUAGUUUUCGACAGUAAAUGUAUCCUGAUUGGUAUAACACAAAUGGAAAUCUUACUUUCUUCUAAACUCUUAAUUUCAAGAUGAACUGGAGAGGGGGGUUUGUACUAAGUUUGGAAUCUAUCACAGUAAGUGUGUAUUUGCGGUAUUGAUGUACAGUUAUUAAGAAAGUUACAUUUUUUCAGCUAUUGUGCUACUGAGAAGGAAACAUGGCUGAGAAUUGCUCUGGCUGGAGUUGAAUGUCUUUGUGACUGAAUACUAGAGACGCUGACUUGCAGCCACUCUUUACAGUCCUACCACCUAGCUUUUAUCUCUCACCUUCCGUUAUUUUCAUGUUAACACUGCCAUUGGGGCAAAUCUAUUGCUUAUUGAUCGGGUCUAGCUAUAGGUAGAAUUCCAUGUUUCCUACACUGUAUUAUACCCAUUACUAUUUGAAUGUUGAUUCUGACAAUCUUAAGACAUCCACCAUAGUCGUGGCAACUCGAAAAACGUAAGCUGGAGAAAUAUCAAAAUCACACGAAACCUCCCCUUAGCUAAUACCAUAAGGGUUCGAUUGAGGCUCUCUGUUAACAGCGCUUUGGUAAAAGUAAGCGUGUGCACGAUGUUAUAGUGAGCUACCAUCACUUCUCAUUACUGACUGUAAUCAAUAUAUAUGUGUUUAUGCCAUAAAAGAUGGAUAUUUGUCGAAGCCAUUGUCGUGACAUGUAAUUACUUGCAGAUCAAUUAUAUAGUUUUGUUUGGAUUGUAAAGUGGAAACGAUAAAACCCUACAACUCAUGUGUGAUUGUCAUUUGAUUAUUUACUUCUUCAAGUAGUAUGGAUAUGGUGCUUCCAGGAUAUUAAGUAUAUUCAUGAAGUUGUAUAAACCACGUUCUACGAUUCACUUCUGUUAUGCAUAUUUACUUUCCAGUUUUAGGACUGAAAU